CCUACGGGUGGCAGCAGUGAGGAAUAUUGGUCAAUGGACGAGAGUCUGAACCAGCCAAGUAGCGUGAAGGAUGACGGCCCUAUGGGUUGUAAACUUCUUUUAUAUGGGAAUAAAAUGUUCCACGUGUGGGAUUUUGUAUGUACCAUAUGAAUAAGGAUCGGCUAACUCCGUGCCAGCAGCCGCGGUAAUACGGAGGAUCCGAGCGUUAUCCGGAUUUAUUGGGUUUAAAGGGAGCGUAGGUGGAUUGUUAAGUCAGUUGUGAAAGUUUGCGGCUCAACCGUAAAAUUGCAGUUGAAACUGGCAGUCUUGAGUACAGUAGAGGUGGGCGGAAUGCGUGGUGUAGCGGUGAAAUGCUUAGAUAUCACGCAGAACUCCGAUUGCGAAGGCAGUUCACUGGACUGCAACUGACACUGAGGCUCGAAAGUGUGGGUAUCAAACAGGAUUAGAUACCCUUGUAGUC
rnacentral:rRNA from 1 species